CAAAUGUACUUCUGUAAUUGGCUGUAGUCUUUAAUUUGCUUAGCUGUAGGAAGCAGAAGAAGGGUUGGGUGGGUGGCCUGUGCCUACCCCUGCUCUGAUGUAAGGAGCACUGGGACUGGAGCGGCUCAGUUGUGUGGAGCCUCGUGGGAUGGACUCGGUUCUUUCAGCUUCCAGGGGAAGGACAGGGGAAGUGAAGCCCUUCCGCUUUUGAAGGUGUGUUUGAUUUCAUGCUGCUCAGAUGCCAUGGUUACAAGCACUGCAGAAAACAAACCCCAAGCACCAGACAAUCUUGACCUACUAUCUGGGUCUUGGCACUUAAGGCUCUAUGUUUUGAUUAAAAGACUUUUUGAAGCCAUGACUUCCUCACCUGGUGUGAGUGACUGACAUGCAAAGAGAGGGGAAAAUGAGCCCUUCUUUCUAUUAUUCUUCACCUGCAUAUCAAACGAGAGGAGUCCUGUUAGAGUGCUGCCUCUCUCUCCUUUUACAAGGCAGUGCACUGUCAGAUCAGACAGUCUGUUUGUAUUACUUUGGA